GACGAACGCUGGCGGCGUGCUUAAUACAUGCAAGUCGAACGGAAAGGCCCUGCUUUUGUGGGGUGCUCGUGUGGCGAACGGGGGAGUAACACGUGAGUAACCUGCCCUUGACUUUGGGAUAAAUUCAGGAAACUGGGGCUAAUAUCGGAUAGGAGCUCUUGCUGCAUGGUGGUGGUUGGAAAGUUUCGGCGGUUGGGGAUGGACUCGCGGCUUAUCAGCUUGUUAGUGGGGUAGUGGCUUACCAAGGCUUUGACGGGUAGACGGCCUGAGAGGGUGACCGGCCACAUGGCUACUAAGAUACGGCCCAGACUCCUACGGGAGGCAGCAGUGGGGAAUAUUGCACAAUGGGCGGAAGCCAGAUGCAGCAACGCCGCGUGCGGGAUGACGGCCUUCGGGUUGUAAACCGCUUUCGCCUGUGACGAAGCGUGAGUGACGGUAAUGGGUAAAGAAGCACCGGCUAACUACGUG
rnacentral:rRNA from 1 species